rnacentral:rRNA from 1 species
UACGUAGGGCGCAAGCGUUGUCCGGAAUUAUUGGGCGUAAAGAGCUCGUAGGCGGUUUGUCGCGUCUGCCGUGAAAGUCCGGGGCUCAACUCCGGAUCUGCGGUGGGUACGGGCAGACUAGAGUGAUGUAGGGGAGACUGGAAUUCCUGGUGUAGCGGUGAAAUGCGCAGAUAUCAGGAGGAACACCGAUGGCGAAGGCAGGUCUCUGGGCAUUAACUGACGCUGAGGAGCGAAAGCAUGGGGAGCGAACGGG